rnacentral:rRNA from 1 species
CCUACGGGAGGCAGCAGUGGGGGAUAUUGCACAAUGGGGGAAACCCUGAUGCAGCGACGCCGCGUGAGUGAAGAAGUAUUUCGGUAUGUAAAGCUCUAUCAGCAGGGAAGAAAAUGACAGUACCUGACCAAGACGCCCCGGCUAACUACGUGCCAGCAGCCGCGGUAAUACGUAGGGGGCAAGCGUUAUCCGGAUUUACUGGGUGUAAAGGGAGCGCAGACGGCUGUGCAAGUCUGGAGUGAAAGGCGGGGGCCCAACCCCCGGACUGCUCUGGAAACUGUAAAGCUGGAGUGCAGGAGAGGUAAGCGGAAUUCCUAGUGUAGCGGUGAAAUGCGUAGAUAUUAGGAGGAACACCAGUGGCGAAGGCGGCUUACUGGACUGCAACUGACGUUGAGGCUCGAAAGCGUGGGGAGCAAACAGGAUUAGAUACCCGGGUAGUC